UACGUAGGGUGCGAGCGUUAAUCGGAAUUACUGGGCGUAAAGCGUGCGCAGGCGGUCUCUUAAGACAGGUGUGAAAUCCCCGGGCUUAACCUGGGAACUGCGCUUGUAACUGAGAGGCUAGAGUGUGGCAGAGGGGGGUGGAAUUCCACGUGUAGCAGUGAAAUGCGUAGAGAUGUGGAGGAACACCGAUGGCGAAGGCAGCCCCCUGGGCUAACACUGACGCCUCAUGCACGAAAGCGUGGGGAGCGAAACAACGGAUUGAUGAAA
rnacentral:rRNA from 1 species